AUUGAACGCUGGCGGCAUGCCUUACACAUGCAAGUCGAACGGUAACAGGUCUUCGGAUGCUGACGAGUGGCGAACGGGCGAGUAAUACAUCGGAACGUGCCCGAUCGUGGGGGAUAACGAAGCGAAAGCUUUGCUAAUACCGCAUAAGAUCUACGGAUGAAAGCAGGGGACCGCAAGGCCUUGCGCGAACGGAGCGGCCGAUGGCAGAUUAGGUAGUUGGUGGGAUAAAAGCUUACCAAGCCGACGAUCUGUAGCUGGUCUGAGAGGACGACCAGCCACACUGGGACUGAGACACGGCACAGACUCCUACGGGAGGCAGCAGUGGGGAAUUUUGGACAAUGGGCGAAAGCCUGAUCCAGCCAUGCCGCGUGCAGGAUGAAGGCCUUCGGGUUGUAAACUGCUUUUGUACGGAACGAAAAGACUCUUUCUAAUAAAGAGGGUCCAUGACGGUACCGUAAGAAUAAGCACCGGCUAACUACGUGCCAGCCGCCGCAGUAAAAC
rnacentral:rRNA from 1 species